rnacentral:misc_RNA from 1 species
AAGACUAUAGACCUGCGGAGUACCUGCGGAGGGAUCAUUAUUGGAUCUUGGUUUUUUUACAAGAGGUUGAGAGCUUUACUGUUCUUGCUUCUUCAAACAAACGAUCACAACAACUAGUAUAGCAGUUGAUUUGGUCUCUGUCUGGUGCGGUUUGUGUGUGUGUGUGUUGGCUGCUGCCAAAUACUCUGCAACAACCGUGCAUAGCGGAGAAGAUACUAAAAGUAUUUGCCUGAUAAGAUA